CUUUCUUUGUCUCUCAACUCAAUCCAAUCAUCAUAUCAGGAACAGCCGAUGAAUUGUCAAUGUCAAUCUGACAGCGUGACAUUUGAUGGAAGCUGUCGACUUAGCAGCUUUGGCAAUGAUUGAGAAUUUCAAUCUUCGAUCAACAAUAGUAACUAGAUUUCGGGUCGGUGCAGAAAAUCCGUCUCGUCAAAUAACAGCUCACUUGAAAUGUGAGCUGUUAUUUUGUUUAGUUCACUUCAAACACAGCCAAUGUCAACCCGUCUCACAAUACCGCAAUGUGUAUUCAAAAGUUGCAAAAAUAAUGCGCGAAAAAGCAAUUUAACGGCCGGAGUAUCUUACUUUCGCUUUCCUAGCAAUCACGUGUGCAGAAUGGAUCUCGAUUGUCGCCAGAGAAACAAGAGAUGACUUUUAUAAGCCAGCUAAGAUCUCCGUUUAUUGACACUGGACAUCUUUGCCUUCCGUGCUCACGGCUACUGAAACGUGGCCGAAACAUUGGAAUAAAAAUACCGCGCUUGAAACCGUUUAAA